rnacentral:rRNA from 1 species
GGCAGCAGUGGGGAAUAUUGCACAAUGGGCGCAAGCCUGAUGCAGCCAUGCCGCGUGUGUGAAGAAGGCCUUCGGGUUGUAAAGCACUUUCAGUCGUGAGGAAGGUAGUGUAGUUAAUAGCUGCAUUACUUGACGUUAGCGACAGAAGAAGCACCGGCUAACUCCGUGCCAGCAGCCGCGGUAAUACGGAGGGUGCGAGCGUUAAUCGGAAUUACUGGGCGUAAAGCGCAUGCAGGUGGUUUGUUAAGUCAGAUGUGAAAGCCCGGGGCUCAACCUCGGAAUAGCAUUUGAAACUGGCAGACUAGAGUACUGUAGAGGGGGGUAGAAUUUCAGGUGUAGCGGUGAAAUGCGUAGAGAUCUGAAGGAAUACCGGUGGCGAAGGCGGCCCCCUGGACAGAUACUGACACUCAGAUGCGAAAGCGUGGGGAGCAAACAGGAUUAGAUACCCUGGUAGUCCACGCCGUAAACGAUGUCUACUUGGAGGUUGUGGCCUUGAGCCGUGGCUUUCGGAGCUAACGCGUUAAGUAGACCGCCUGGGGAGUACGGUCGCAAGAUUAAAACUCAAAUGAAUUGACGGGGGCCCGCACAAGCGGUGGAGCAUGUGGUUUAAUUCGAUGCAACGCGAAGAACCUUACCUACUCUUGACAUCCAGAGAACUUUCCAGAGAUGGAUUGGUGCCUUCGGGAACUCUG